UCUAAAGGCGGGAUUAAGAGGAGUUUAUAAAAGUGAGUUGCGUUGGUGCUCUCUCUUGGCUGCUCCUUCAGUAUACUCGUCCUCCCAGCACACUCACCUCCACUCGUUAUACUCCACGGCACCACACCAGCCACCUUUUCCCUCUCCGCCUCCUGGCACUCUUACAGUAGUAGGAAAAUUAUGGUGGUCCUGGCAAUAAGAAUAAAAGGAUGCUGAGUGAGGACGUUACCCAGGAGGAAGAGCCAGAGUCUGGGCACGAAGGCAAGGCCGGGCAAUUGGGAAAGGGCAGGAAGAGGAGCUGACCUGCUGAAUCUGGCCACGUGAUCCACAAUACUACUCCCUGUUAUCAGGAACCCAGGCAGUGACAAUGUGUG